rnacentral:rRNA from 1 species
GAUGAACGCUGGCGGCGUGCCUAAUACAUGCAAGUCGAACGAAACUUCUUUAUCACCGAGUGCUUGCACUCACCGAUAAAGGGUUGAGUGGCGAACGGGUGAGUAACACGUGGGCAACCUGCCCAAAAGAGGGGGAUAACACUUGGAAACAGGUGCUAAUACCGCAUAACCAUAGUUACCGCAUGGUAACUAUGUAAAAGGUGGCUAUACUACCGCUUUUGGAUGGGCCCGCGGCGCAUUAGCUAGUUGGUAGGGUAAAGGCUUACCAAGGCAAUGAUGCGUAGCCGAAUUGAGAGGUUGAUCGGCGACAUUGGGACGGAGACACGGCCCAAACUCCUACGGGAGGCAGCAGUAGGGAAUCUUCCACAAUGGGCGAAAGCCUGAUGGAGCAACGCCGCGUGGGUGAAGAAGGUCUUCGGAUCGUAAAACCCUGUUGUUAGAGAAGAAAGUGCGUGAGAGUAACUGUUCACGUUUCGACGGUAUCUAACCAGAAAGCCACUGCUAACUACGUG